UACAGACGGUCCAAACGUUAUUCGGAAUUACUGGGCUUAAAGAGUUCGUAGGCGGUCCAGAAAGUGGGGUGUGAAAGCCCUCGGCUCAACCGAGGAAGUGCGCCCGAAACUGCAGAGCUUGAGUACCGGAGAGGGUGGCGGAAUUCCCCAAGUAGAGGUGAAAUUCGUAGAUAUGGGGAGGAACACCGGUGGCGAAGGCGGCCACCUGGACGGAUACUGACGCUGAGACGCGAAAGCGUGGGGAGCAAACAGG
rnacentral:rRNA from 1 species